UCCAGGCAGGGAUGGUGCUG
rnacentral:misc_RNA from 1 species